AGUGAACGCUGGCGGUAGGCUUAACACAUGCAAGUCGAACGGCAGCACAGUAAUAGCUUGCUCUUACGGGUGGGGAGUGGCGGACGGGUGAGGAAUACAUCGGAAUCUACUUUUUCGUGGGGGAUAACGUAGGGAAACUUACGCUAAUACCGCAUACGACCUACGGGUGAAAGCAGGGGAUCUUCGGACCUUGCGCGAUUGAAUGAGCCGCUGUCGGAUUAGCUAGUUGGCGGGGUAAAGGCCCACCAGGGCGACGAUCCGCAGCUGGUCUGAGGGAAUGAUCAGCGUCACUGGAAGUUAGACACGCACCAUGCACCUGAGGGAGGCCGCAGUGUGGAACGUGUGACAACAGGCGCGAGCCUGAUCCAGCCGUACGACGUGGGUGAAGAAGGCCUUCAGGUUGUAAAGACAUUUUGCUGGGAAAGAAAAGCAGCAGGUUAAUACCCCGCUGUUCUGACGGUACUCAAAGAAUAAGCACCGGCUAACUUCGUG
rnacentral:rRNA from 1 species